rnacentral:rRNA from 1 species
UGGGGAAUUUUGGACAAUGGGCGAAAGCCUGAUCCAGCAAUGCCGCGUGUGUGAAGAAGGCCUUCGGGUUGUAAAGCACUUUUGUCCGGAAAGAAAUCCUUGGCUCUAAUACAGUCGGGGGAUGACGGUACCGGAAGAAUAAGCACCGGCUAACUACGUGCCAGCAGCCGCGGUAAUACGUAGGGUGCAAGCGUUAAUCGGAAUUACUGGGCGUAAAGCGUGCGCAGGCGGUUUGCUAAGACCGAUGUGAAAUCCCCGGGCUCAACCUGGGAACUGCAUUGGUGACUGGCAGGCUAGAGUAUGGCAGAGGGGGGUAGAAUUCCACGUGUAGCAGUGAAAUGCGUAGAGAUGUGGAGGAAUACCGAUGGCGAAGGCAGCCCCCUGGGCCAAUACUGACGCUCAUGCACGAAAGCGUGGGGAGCAAAACAGGAUUAGAUACCCUGGUAGUCCACGCCCUAAACGAUGUCAACUAGUUGUUGGGGAUUCAUUUCCUUAGUAGCGUAGCUAACGCGUGAAGUUGACCGCCUGGGGAGUACGGUCGCAAGAUU